AUUGAACGCUGGCGGCAUGCCUUACACAUGCAAGUCGAACGGCAGCACGGGUGCUUGCACCUGGUAGCGAGUGGCGAACGGGUGAGUAAUAUAUCGGAACGUACCUUAUUGUGGGGGAUAACGCAGCGAAAGCUGUGCUAAUACCGCAUAAUCCCUAAGGGGGAAAGCGGGGGACCGUAAGGCCUCGCGCAAUUAGAGCGGCCGAUACCUGAUUAGCUAGUUGGUGAGGUAAAGGCUCACCAAGGCAACGAUCAGUAGCUGGUCUGAGAGGACGAUCAGCCACACUGGGACUGAGACACGGCCCAGACUCCUACGGGAGGCAGCAGUGGGGAAUUUUGGACAAUGGGGGCAACCCUGAUCCAGCAAUGCCGCGUGAGCGAAGAAGGCCUUCGGGUUGCAAAGCUCUUUUGUCAGGGAAGAAACAGCAGCUCUAACACAGUAUGCGAAUGACGGUACCUGAAGAAUAAGCACCGGCUAACUACGUGCCAGCCGCCGCAGUAA
rnacentral:rRNA from 1 species